CGAGCGAACGGACGAGAAGCUUGCUUCUCUGAUGUUAGCGGCGGACGGGUGAGUAACACGUGGAUAACCUACCUAUAAGACUGGGAUAACUUCGGGAAACCGGAGCUAAUACCGGAUAAUAUUUUGAACCGCAUGGUUCAAAAGUGAAAGACGGUCUUGCUGUCACUUAUAGAUGGAUCCGCGCUGCAUUAGCUAGUUGGUAAGGUAACGGCUUACCAAGGCAACGAUGCAUAGCCGACCUGAGAGGGUGAUCGGCCACACUGGAACUGAGACACGGUCCAGACUCCUACGGGAGGCAGCAGUAGGGAAUCUUCCGCAAUGGGCGAAAGCCUGACGGAGCAACGCCGCGUGAGUGAUGAAGGUCUUCGGAUCGUAAAACUCUGUUAUUAGGGAAGAACAUAUGUGUAAGUAACUGUGCACAUCUUGACGGUACCUAAUCAGAAAGCCACGGCUAACUACGUGCCAGCAGCCGCGGUAAUACGUAGGUGGCAAGCGUUAUCCGGAAUUAUUGGGCGUAAAGCGCGCGUAGGCGGUUUUUUAAGUCUGAUGUGAAAGCCCACGGCUCAACCGUGGAGGGUCAUUGGAAACUGGAAAACUUGAGUGCAGAAGAGGAAAGUGGAAUUCCAUGUGUAGCGGUGAAAUGCGCAGAGAUAUGGAGGAACACCAGUGGCGAAGGCGACUUUCUGGUCUGUAACUGACGCUGAUGUGCGAAAGC
rnacentral:rRNA from 1 species